rnacentral:rRNA from 1 species
GACGAACGCUGGCGGCGUGCUUAACACAUGCAAGUCGAACGAUGAAGCCGGAGCUUGCUCUGGUGAAUUAGUGGCGAACGGGUGAGUAACACGUGAGUAACCUGCCCUUGACUCUGGGAUAACUGCUAGAAAUGGUCGCUAAUACCGGAUACGACCCUCGGCGGCAUCGCCAGGGGGUGGAAAGAAUUUCGGUCAAGGAUGGACUCGCGGCCUCUCAGCUAGUUGGUGAGGUAACGGCUCACCAAGGCGACGAGGGGUAGCCGGCCGGAGAGGGUGACCGGCCACACUGGGACUGAGACACGGCCCAGACUCCUACGGGAGGCAGCAGUGGGGAAUAUUGCACAAUGGGCGCAAGCCUGAUGCAGCAACGCCGCGUGAGGGAUGACGGCCUUCGGGUUGUAAACCUCUUUUAGUAGGGAAGAAGCGAAAGUGACGGUACCUGCAGAAAAAGCACCGGCUAACUACGUGCCAGCCGCCGCCGUAA